GACAGAGGCCUCAAGCGUUAGGCGGAAUCACUGGGCUUAAAGCGUGUGUAGGCGGAUCGUUAAGUGUCUUGUGAAAUCCCACGGCUCACCCGUGGAACUGCUGGGCAUACUGGCGAUCUUGGGCCAACUAGGGGCAACUGGAACAAGCGGUGGAGCGGUGAAAUGCGUAGAUAUCGCUUGGAACGCCAAAAGGUGAAAACAGGUUGCUGGGGUUGUGCCGACGC
rnacentral:rRNA from 1 species